rnacentral:rRNA from 1 species
AUUGAACGCUGGCGGCAGGCCUAACACAUGCAAGUCGAACGAGUGGCAGACGGGUGAGUAAUGUAUGGGAACCUGCCUGAUGGAGGGGGAUAACUACUGGAAACGGUAGCUAAUACCGCAUACCCUCAGAUGUGCCCAGAUGGGAUUAGCUAGUAGGUGGGGUAAGGGCUCACCUAGGCGACGAUCCCUAGCUGGCCUGAGAGGCUGAGCAGCCACACUGGAACGUAGACACGGUCCAGACUCCUACGGGCGGCAGCAGUGGGGAAGAUUGCACAAUGGGCGCAAGCCUGAUGCAGCCAUGCCGCGUGUGUGAAGAAGGCCUUCGGGUUGUAAAGUACUUUCAGCGGGGAGGCGUUACCCGCAGAAGAAGCACCGGCUAACUCCGUGCCAGCAGCCGCGGUAAUAC